AUUCAGGUGGGCCUAGUGGAAUCAGGUGCGUUCCUAAAAGUGAAAGAGGGAAGCAGAGAUGUAGUCCGUCAAAGAUGUGACUGUGGAGGAAAGGCACAAAGAAUGCAACAUUACUGGCUUUAAAGAUGGAAGUGGGGCCGUGAGAUAAGGAAUGCAGGUAGCCUCUUGAAGCUGGAAAAGAAAAUCAUGACUAGCUUCUGGCCAUGACAAAAGUUAUGUCAGCAUCAUUAUGUAACACCUGUGAUCGGUGCAGAAUGGAAGAGGUUUAAGAACCAGAACGGAGUCCUCUAUAUAACUGAAAAGUUUCUCUACAAUGUUAAAUGUGCUGCUCAAUCCCCCGAAGUAAAGUAAAUGGCCUGCAGCGAAGUCUGAGGAAAGCUCUACAACACCAUGAAUAUAGCUCAUGAAAGCUGGCACAGAGGAAUAGUAUACAUAAGUGACCUAAGGAGCAGAACUUUAAAGGAAGUGUUGUAAAAGAAUGGAGGAUCAGGGAGCUGACCCUGUGGCCGAGUGGUUAAGUUCUCCUGCUCCGCUUCAGCUGCCUGGGGUUUCACUGGUUUACAUCAUAGGCCUGGACAUGGCAAUGCUCAUCAGGCCACGCUGAGGCAGCGUUCCCCAUAGCACAACCAGAAGGACCUACAACUAGAAUAUGCAACUAUG
rnacentral:lncRNA from 1 species